AGAGUUUGAUCAUGGCUCAGAAUCAACGCUGGCGGCGCGCCUAACACAUGCAAGUCGAACGAGAAAGUGGAGCAAUCCAUGAGUACAGUGGCGUACGGGUGAGUAACACGUGGGUAAUCUACCCUUUGGUGGGGAAUAACUCUGGGAAACCGGAGCUAAUACCGCAUAAUCCUGAGAAGGAAAAGCAGCAAUGCGCCGAAGGAGGAGCCCGCGGCCGAUUAGCUAGUUGGUAGGGUAAAAGCCUACCAAGGCAAAGAUCGGUAGCCGGCCUGAGAGGGCACACGGCCACACUGGCACUGAAACACGGGCCAGACUCCUACGGGAGGCAGCAGUGGGGAAUCUUGCACAAUGGGGGAAACCCUGAUGCAGCGACGCCGCGUGAGCGAUGAAGCCCUUCGGGGUGUAAAGCUCUUUCGGCAGGGAAGAUUAUGACGGUACCUGCAGAAGCAGCUGCGGCUAACUACGUGCCAGCAGCCGCGGUAAUACGUAGGCAGCAAGCGUUGUUCGGAGUUACUGGGCGUAAAGGGUGUGUAGGCGGCUUCUUAAGUUUGGUGUGAAAUCUCCCGGCUCAACCGGGAGGGUGCGCCGAAUACUGAGGGGCUAGAGUGCGGGAGAGGAAAGUGGAAUUCCUGGUGUAGCGGUGAAAUGCGUAGAUAUCAGGAGGAACACCGGUGGUGUAGACGGCUUUCUGGACCGUAACUGACGCUGAAACACGAAAGCGUGGGUAGCAAACAGGAUUAGAUACCCUGGUAGUCCACGCCCUAAACGAUGCAUAUUUGGUGUGGGUCAUUCAGUUGAUCCGUGCCCGGAGCUAACGCGUUAAAUAUGCCGCCUGGGGAGUACAGUCGCAAGCUGAACUCAAGGAAUUGACGGGGCCCGCACAAGCGGUGGAGCAUGUGGUUCAAUUCGACGCAACGCGAAGAAUCUUACCUGGGCUCGAACGGCU
rnacentral:rRNA from 1 species